UACUAUGGCGGUUGUGCGCGGGAGACCUUCGGGUCUGCCGGUUACUCAUUCCCGGUUCGCCAACCUGCGCGCAACUGCCACCCCA
rnacentral:antisense_RNA from 1 species